GCUUUAGAUGCAUUCUCGCUGUAAAUAUGGACAUAAAGUAAAACAAAGGAGCAUUUAGAUGAGCUUUUAUUUAAUCAUUACUGCUCAUAAAGGAACUCCUGAUAAAC
rnacentral:snoRNA from 1 species